rnacentral:snRNA from 1 species
AUACUUUUUCGGUCUUUUGGCUAAGAUUAAGUAUAGUAUCUGUUUUUAUCAGUCUAAUAUCUGAUACGUGGACUAUGUGUCCACUUUACUAUUACAUUUUUGUGGGAGGGUCUACCAUAUUAGUGUGUCAUUGGACCCUUGUGUGAGGCCUAACUAUUGCACUGGUAGAAUCUAGCCUUUACCUAAC